rnacentral:snRNA from 1 species
GUGCUCGCUUCAGCAGCACAUAUACUAAAAUUAGAAUGAUACAGAGAAGAUUAGCAUGGCCCCUGUGCAAGGAUGACACGCAAAUCCAUGAAACAUUCCAUAUUUUU